rnacentral:rRNA from 1 species
CCUACGGGAGGCAGCAGUGGGGAAUAUUGCGCAAUGGGCGAAAGCCUGACGCAGCGACGCCGCGUGAGGGAUGAAGGUUUUCGGAUCGCAAACCUCUGUCAGAAGGGAAGAAACUGUGCCGCUCUAAUCAACGGCGCACUGACGGUACCUUCAAAGGAAGCACCGGCUAACUCCGUGCCAGCAGCCGCGGUAAU